UUUGAGCAAGGGAGUGCGUGUGUGGUGUAGAGUUAGAUAUUCAGAACUUUCUUUAGGUUUUCUCUUUCUUGGUGGCAUUCUUUGUUUUCUUCUGUGCAUGAUUAAGGUGGCUGUUUCCUUAUCCAGGUGGCUGUUUCCUUAUCCAGGUGGGUGUUUCCUUAUCCAGGUGGGUGUUUCCUUAUCCAGGUGGGUGUUUCCUUAUCCAGGUGGCUGUUUCCUUAUCCAGGUGGCUGUUUCCUUAUCCAGGAUCUCUUCCCACGUGUAGGAUCCCUUGCCGUCCAGGAUGUCCUCCCAUAUCCAGUCCAAAUAGCUCUCCUUCUGCUCCUUCCUCCGCUGCUUGGUACUUCUUUGGUGGGUGGUUCUGUAUCGUUCAUCGUAAGGAGUGGACCAAAAUGCAGCCGGUAAAGUGCUCAUCUUCUUAUUUAUUAAAAGAAAAACACUUAAACAAAACAAACGACGAAAACAGUCCAAUAAGGUGCACAGACUAUACUGGAAACAACCACCCACAAAACACAAGUGAAACAAACCCCAACUAAAUAUGGCCUCCAAUUAGAGGCAACGACAACCAGCUGCCUCCAAUUGGAGGUCCUACCAAAACCCCAACAUAGAAAUGGAAAAACUAGAUAAACACAUAGAAAUAGAAAAUGUAGAACAUAAACCAAAAAACCCGAACCACACAAAACAAACACCCCCUGCCACGCCCUGACCAAACUACAAUAACAAAUAACCCCUUUUACCGGUCAGGACGUGACAUAUACAGUAUGUGUGUAAUAUGUGUAUGUGUGUAAUAUACUGUAUGUGUGUAAUACAUGCACGUGUGUGAUAUACUGUAUGUGUGUAAUAUACUGUAUGUGUGUGGGGGGGCUGAAAGAGAUAAAAACACUGUGCUCUCAGCAGAAAAGACAAGAGGAUGUGAUGUGAUGAGAGUUCGAUCCAGAGCCCAAACCCGGUAAAUGAGAAGACCUUUAUCUCCACUCUCCAUCUGGGCACUGGGCUCUCUUUUAACUGGAAAGGUUGUCUGCAGCCUGUUCAGUGCUUCAUCGGCGCUUGUGAACUCCAUUUUCUGUAUUGACAUUCAUCGACCAUCACAAUCAAGACUGAUAACCUUGGAGAGGGAGAGCGUAGGGGAGAUGGAAUGGUGCUUUUACAAGUGGUCGCUUUUGAUGUAGCUGGCUGUUCAUU
rnacentral:lncRNA from 1 species